rnacentral:rRNA from 1 species
UACGGGGGGGGGCAAGCGUUGUUCGGAAUUACUGGGCGUAAAGGGCUCGUAGGCGGCCAACUAAGUCGGAUGUGAAAUCCCCAGGCUUAACCUGGGAACUGCAUCCGAUACUGGAUGGCUUGAAUCCGGGAGAGGGAUGCGGAAUUCCAGGUGUAGCGGUGAAAUGCGUAGAUAUCUGGAGGAACACCAGGUGGCGAAGGCGGC